ACGUGGGGGGCGGGCCUAUACAUGCAAGUCGAACGAACUCUGGUAAUGAUUGGUGCUUGCAUCAUGAAUUACAUUUGAGUGAGUGGCGAACUGGUGAGUAACACGUGGGAAACCUGCCCAGAAGCGGGGGAUAACACCUGGAAACAGAUGCUAAUACCGCAUAACAACUUGGACCGCAUGGUCCGAGUUUGAAAGAUGGCUUCGGCUAUCACUUUUGGAUGGUCCCGCGGCGUAUUAGCUAGAUGGUGAGGUAACGGCUCACCAUGGCAAUGAUACGUAGCCGACCUGAGAGGGUAAUCGGCCACAUUGGGACUGAGACACGGCCCAAACUCCUACGGGAGGCAGCAGUAGGGAAUCUUCCACAAUGGACGAAAGUCUGAUGGAGCAACGCCGCGUGAGUGAAGAAGGGUUUCGGCUCGUAAAACUCUGUUGUUAAAGAAGAACAUAUCUGAGAGUAACUGUUCAGGUAUUGACGGUAUUUAACCAGAAAGCCACGGCUAACUACGUGCCAGCAGCCGCGGUAAUACGUAGGUGGCAAGCGUUGUCCGGAUUUAUUGGGCGUAAAGCGAGCGCAGGCGGUUUUUUAAGUCUGAUGUGAAAGCCUUCGGCUCAACCGAAGAAGUGCAUCGGAAACUGGGAAACUUGAGUGCAGAAGAGGACAGUGGAACUCCAUGUGUAGCGGUGAAAUGCGUAGAUAUAUGGAAGAACACCAGUGGCGAAGGCGGCUGUCUGGUCUGUAACUGACGCUGAGGCUCGAAAGUAUGGGUAGCAAACAGGAUUAGAUACCCUGGUAGUCCAUACCGUAAACGAUGAAUGCUAAGUGUUGGAGGGUUUCCGCCCUUCAGUGCUGCAGCUAACGCAUUAAGCAUUCCGCCUGGGGAGUACGGCCGCAAGGCUGAAACUCAAAGGAAUUGACGGGGGCCCGCACAAGCGGUGGAGCAUGUGGUUUAAUUCGAAGCUACGCGAAGAACCUUACCAGGUCUUGACAUACUAUGCAAAU
rnacentral:rRNA from 1 species